CAUAGCGACUAUCGUGGCAUAUCAAUAAGCGGAGGAAAAGAAACUAACAAGGAUUCCCCUAGUAACGGCGAGUGAAGCGGGAAGAGCUCAAAUUUGAAAUCUUAAAGGGUUUCCCUUUACGAAUUGUAGUUUAAAGAAGUGUUUUCUGUUGGAGUUUCGGUAGAAGUUCUUUGGAAUAGGACAUCAUAGAGGGUGAGAAUCCCGUAUUUGACCGUUACUUUCCAGCUGUGUGAUACACUUUCAAAGAGUCGGAUUGUUUGGGAAUGCAGUCCAAAAUGGGUGGUAAAUUUCAUCUAAAGCUAAAUAUUGGCGAGAGACCGGAUAGCGAACAAGUACCGUGAGGGAAAGAUGAAAAGAACUUUGAAAAGAGAGUUAAACAGUACGUGAAAUUGUCAAAAGGGAAGCGUUUGACACCAGUGUUGUUUAGUUGAAAAUCAAUUCAAUAAUUUUUGAUUUUGAGUAGUAUUGACUUCAUCAGCUUGCUGCUUUCUUUUCAGGAAAUUAUUGAAUGCACUUUUCAGUUAACAAGUCAACAUCAAUUUCUUUUGUUGUAAAAGGGUAAGAGGAAGGUGGCUUACGCUUCGGCGUAAGUGUUUAUAGCCUUUUACCUCUGCAAUCGGAGAGAUUGAGGACAGCAGCGUAGACUCUUCGGGGUUAGAUACACUUGUGCUAAGCUAUAGCCUUGUAUAGACAACUUGUUGACUAUGCUCAGUCAUGUAGCUUACUCGCUUGUGCUAUUUUACCUACGCUUAGGAUGUUGAUAUGCAUGACUGAUAU
rnacentral:rRNA from 1 species